rnacentral:rRNA from 1 species
UACGAAGGUGGCAAGCGUUACUCGGAAUUACUAGGCGUAAAGGGCAGGUAGGUGGUUUGGUAAGUCUGUUGUGAAAGCUCCCGGCUUAACUGGGAGAGGUCAACGGAUACUGCCGAACUUGAGUAUAGGAGAGGUUACUGGAAUUCCCGGUGUAGCGGUGAAAUGCGCAGAGAUCGGGAGGAACACCAAUGGCGAAAGCAGGUAACUGGACUAUUACUGACACUCAGCUGCGAAAGCUAGGGGAGCAAACAGG